AUCAUUUGGAGUGGAAUCAGUUAACAGCAGAGGAGGAUUUAGCACCUGAUUUUGUUCUAAUAACCUAUCACAUUGACCAGUCCUUUUGUUAAUCUGAGCAUUUAAAUGAGUUCUUAUUAGAAAAAAGUAACUCGAGCUGCAAAAAAGGAACAAGGUGCACCAGGGUCCUGAGGGAAAAAACCCUGUUUUCUCUGUCCUCUGAAAAAUAAUUAGGCAGAGCAAAGGAAAUAAAACUGCUGUCUCGUGGCAAGGUGUCUGCAUUCUUUGGGUGAUGGGAGCAGACAGAGAUCUAAUCCUGCUGAUGAGAAAUCCUAAAUUAAAGCCGAGAUUAAAGGCACAACUGACAGAGAUACACUGAGCCAGGAACAAUCAAUAAUGAUACAGAUCGCUUUAGGAUAAAAUAUACAUGAAGACUUUAAAAAAAAUAUAUUGUUUGCUCUACUUUCAAAUCAAAUCUGAUAUGCUCUUGAAAAAGCAAAGACAAUGUUAGAGAGAAGCACAACGUGGAUUUGCCAGGAGGGAAAAAAACCAGCUUCUGAGAAUCUUAAAGGAAAAACUGUCACAGUGUAUUUGUGAAGCACUCAGUGGAACAGGAAGGCUCCUCCAACACCAACAAGGCUGUGCACACUCAGAGAUUUCAUCCAAGCACUUCAGCUCUGUGAUUCACCCAGUCAAGGCGUUGUGAAUCAAAUAAUCUCAUCAUAAAUUGGAUUUGGGGUAUGAGACCAAUAAGUGAGGCUGCCCAGGACCUGUUGUGUUGUUAGAGGAUCCCGUGCAGUGUCUUUGGUGAUGGCUCUGUGGGGAUCUGGGUGCAGGAAACACUCAGAGCUGGAGAACGGAGCCAGCAGAAGCUGGAGGAGAAAACAAGAGCUGGGAAGAAAAGCCAGGGCAACAGAAUGCCAUCAGCUGAGGUUCCUGCUGCCUCAGCUGCCACAGCCCACACUCCUGGGUGAGGGUUUGACUGAGUGACAUGAAAGGAAAGAGAGGAGCCCGAGCAGUCACUUGGAAAAUAGCUGAACACACUUUGAUGUUUUCUGCAAAUGGCAUUUCUCCCGUGGAGAGGAGCUUGCUCCUGAGCUCCAUCCAUCCCAGGGGCAGCCCAGCAGUCAGCAAACUUGCUCUAAUUGAGAUCCCAAACAUAAAGAGUCUCUAAAAAUCCACGUGUAGACAUUUCCUCUGGCAGGAGCUGCUGUCUGCACUUGCCAUGGUGUGAAUUGGAGCAGCUCCAGUCAGGGUGUGUGCACCUGGUGAGAAAGGUGGGAGCCAGAGCUGGAGCCCAUUUCUGUGGGUUUCUCAUGAUAAAACACCCAGAUGUGCUGAAGGAUGGAGGGGCGAAGCCAGGCUUAAACCCCAAAACUAAAACAGAAAAUAAAAUGCCUUCUUGCCUCCUGUUUGAGAUUUGCAUUUCAGAAUUCAUUCCCUCUUGAAUUAUUGUGCUCUCGCUCUAUAAAUUUGAUGACCUCUGACCAGAAGAAAUUAAGUUCAAUGAUUUUCUGGUUUGUUUGAAUAUGAACCUCCCAGGGAACUGAAUGUCAUGUAAGGCUGCAAUUUUUGGCAUGCUAACGUACACCUGCAGGUGGCUCUUCAAAUGAUCAUAUUUUAAACUAUUUCUGAAAAGCAUUAUGUAUCCAGCAAAUUGCAUAGCAGGUGAAAAGUCUUGUGAUGAAGGUCAUGCCUUGGCUGUAAUUUAUUCAAUAGGAAUAUUUAUUUUGCUUUUUGAUCAAUAGUAGUUGUACCAAUCCCUCUAUUAUCUUUAAUUCAUGUCACCAUUUUUUCCCCAGUUAAAAACAUGAAGAAUUGAUUUAAAAAAAAAUUCCAAAUUGAAUAUCCAUUUGGUUCAGGCUGUGUGAUGUCAGUGAAAAUUCAGCUCACAUUCAGUAGAUGUCGAGUUACACCCACACUUUAUGAUAUUAUCUCAGUUUUAUGCAUCUUCUAUUUUCUGUUUUAUCUGAAGGUUUGGUGCCCUUCCUGCUGCUCCCACAGAAAAUUCCGCGGCCACUCCAGCACCUGGGACGCUCCCAAUCUCCUCUGUACUUCCUUGAAGUUCCUUCUGUGUUUAAAUAAUGUCAGCUUCAAUUGUGCUUGAGAUGGAGGUAGAGGAAAGCUGAGGGAUUGACUCCCUGCUCUCAUGGUUAAUGCACUCCGGUUUGGGAUGAGGGGAGGUGUCAAGUUCAAUUCUCUGCUUCAAAUAAGGAGGAUGGAUUUGAACUUAAAUCUCCUCUAUUCCCAUGAUUAACCCUGGGCAGCUGAAGGAUGGCUUUAUUUCUCCCUUUUCCCUUCUGGUUCUGCUCUGGUCAGGAGAACACUCAGAUCUCCUGUCAGGAAAGGCUGGGGACGUUUGGCCUGGAGAAGAGAAGGCUCCACGGAGAAUUUAUUGCAGCCUUUCAGGAUCUGCAGGGGGUAGAGAGGAUUUUUUACAAGGGAUGGAGUGUAUGAAGUGGGGGAAGUUGUUUUAGGAACUCAAAUUCCUCCCUGUGGGGGUGGGCAGCCCUGGCACAGGGUGCCCAGAGCAGCUGGGGCUGCCCCUGGAUCCCUGGCAGUGCCCAAGGCCA